rnacentral:snoRNA from 1 species
AUGCUGUGAUGACCUGAAUUUCUUCACCUGAACUUCUGUGAUGGUUAUUGAGCUUUUUAACCCUGAGCUUU